UGGGGAAUUUUGGACAAUGGGGGCAACCCUGAUCCAGCAAUGCCGCGUGUGUGAAGAAGGCCUUCGGGUUGUAAAGCACUUUUGUCCGGGAAGAAAUCGCACCUGAUAAUACCGGGUGUGGAUGACGGUACCGGAAGAAUAAGGACCGGCUAACUACGUGCCAGCAGCCGCGGUAAUACGUAGGGUCCAAGCGUUAAUCGGUAUUACUGGGCGUAAAGCGUGCGCAGGCGGUUGUGCAAGACCGAUGUGAAAUCCCCGGGCUUAACCUGGGAAUUGCAUUGGUGACUGCACGGCUAGAGUGUGUCAGAGGGGGGUAGAAUUCCACGUGUAGCAGUGAAAUGCGUAGAGAUGUGGAGGAAUACCGAUGGCGAAGGCAGCCCCCUGGGAUAACACUGACGCUCAUGCACGAAAGCGUGGGGAGCAAACAGG
rnacentral:rRNA from 1 species